UUCUGCCCCUGCUUCUGAAUCACUAGGCUUC
rnacentral:piRNA from 1 species